rnacentral:lncRNA from 1 species
UUUGCAAACGCUAUCCAAAACUUGACAAAGAAAAGCCGAAUGCUUUAGUUUCCGGACUUGGUAACACAAUCCCAAAGAUUGUCCUAAAAUGGAUUGUAUAUGUACCUAAGUAGUCUCAUCCUCAAAAUCGUUCUAUUGGUAAUGUAUCAUUGAAAGAACAUGUUAGAUAAGUCUAUCAUGAAGAGGACAACACAAACCACCAAUGCUUAAUCCUUUGUUAAAUGAACAAAGGAACUUACGAAGAUUAGCAUAAUGACAAGGACACCUUUUAGUGUUAUUAGUUCUUCACUUACAAAUCGUUGUAUGUAGAAAUAAUAAGUUGCUUUGAACAACCCUUAGUCAAUGCAAACACUAGUGCUUGUUUCUUUGUUAAAUGAACAAAGAACUUGAGAAGAAAGCACAAAGGCAUGGACACUUUAUGUGCCAUGAUUCUUCACUUACAAAUUGUUGUAUGAAGAAAUGAGAGUUGCCUUGUACAACUCUUGAAGGUUUGUAAUUAUGUUUAGAACAUAAUAGUUGGUUGACAAAAAUAGUCCAUUAACAUGGACUUAUAAUGAUUUUGAAUCAUUGAGUGUUGAAGUGAUAAACCACUUAACGAGACGGAAACUAGGCAAGGACUUCACCUUUGUGUCCCUAUCCUUAUGGUUCACUAAGUUUAUUGUAAACUAUGUAGUGAACAAUAACCACAUGCUCUCCAAAAUGUUUGAUGUGUAUAACACAAUUGAAAUAAGUUUCAAGAGAGAUAGUGGGAGUUUAGGGACCAUGACUAUUGUAGUCAAAGGAGAAGUCAAAUGAAGAAGAUAAGAUUAACUCCAAGGGAACAAACUUUCUUUAUGAAAGGAUGGACAUUGGAAGGGGUAUUUGCAAGAAAUGUCUUGCAAGUGUCAAGAACACACCUUUCGAAGGUGUUGUAAAUUGUUCUUGAAUAGUUCAAAACAGUUGGUUCUUCUACUUGAAUGCUUGAUUCCGUAUUAGUAACUAUGUUUUACAAUCGUUGUAAAAGUGUAGCUAAUAAGAAGUAGAAAAUUAAUGAGAGAAGAGAAAGUACUUCACAUUCAAAACGUGAAUCAAAUAUAGAUCUCUGCGAAAGCAGAUGGUACUUACUUCCUCAUAUGAACUACCAAAGAAAUUGGAAAAACGUAGAUUGUCUUUAUAUUCCAAUUUUAAGGAACUAAAUUCCGUCACUAUGUGAAAUGGAUAAAUGUUUUGUUUGACAAAACAUUGUUCUUUAUUAAUGAAUGAUUAGAUUAUUGUAAUCUAAUUAAUUAUCUCUAUAGUAGAGAUAAUAUGGUAGUGUUAACUGUUUAGAAAAUAAUUAUGCUUAAAACCCAAAAGGUUGCAAGGUAGUGACUAAUCCCAACUAAAGUUGUGAUACCUCUAAAACAUAAAUUACGAGUUGGUCAUAGAUGGACGCUUUGGAUCGUUAGAUCCGGAUCCAAUACCUUCUUGUUAAAAUUGUAUAGAGGCGAAAUGUUCGAAUCUUUAUUCUUUUGGAAAGAAGAAAGAAUCACAAAGUUGUUGAGGUUAAUUCACUUAGAUGUUAGUGGCACUUGUCCACAAACAUAAUACUACUCAUGUUAUAUGACAUUCACCGAAGAUCACUCUCGGUUGGACUAUAGUUUAUUUUGAAUAAACACAAGUUCGAAUACUUUGUAAAAGGUUUCAAAGAAUUCAAGAAAUGUAAGUUGAUGAGUAAGACGUCUAAAGUAUUUACCUCCUUAGAUUUGAUCCAAGAUAAGGUAACACUUUAGAACAGUUUCCUUGAAAGAUAUCAAGGAAAUAAGCAUCAUAAGAUAAUGUAAUUCUCCAUUAGGAGAAGAACGAACUCGAAUAAGAUUUAGUUCGUUAGAUGUUAUCUAUUACCCAUAUAUAGGAUAUAUACUUCUAAAACAAUAUGAUUGUCAAUGAGAAGAUCUUCCAAUAUUUUCAUGACUCCAUAAGAUGUAGUUGGAAAGAAAGACAAAUCUUAAAACAUGUUAAGAUUUGGGGUUGUGAGCUAAUAAACAAUAUUUGUUUGAUAACAAUCUUGUGGGAUAUCCUUAAAUUAACUUUUGGAUAUCGCUUCUAUAAACCAACUAACAAAUGUUGUUUUGUUGGGUAGUUCAUUGUAAUCCUACAAUGUGAUUUGCCUAAGAGCAAAUGAACAAGGGAUAGAACUCAAAGAAUGGUUCUUUGAGAGACAAGAUAAUAAUCAACAAAUAUAACAACCUAGUUCCUAUACCAAAAAGCUCCAAGGUAGUCGAGAAGGAUUUAUAAACCGUCUCAGUUGAAUGGUUUGAACUUUAUGACUAUGUCAUAGAGUUGCACCUCUUAAUUCGAAAGAACUAAGAAUGAAAAACCUUAUGACUACAAUGAGUGUAUAUAUAUGAUAUAUACUCAAGGAAAUGGUAAAGUACCAUUUGACCCGAAAUAAUGAAACCUUCAU